GCCAGACUCCUACGGGAGGCAGCAGUGGGGGAUAUUGCACAAUGGGGGGAACCCUGAUGCAGCGACGCCGCGUGGGUGAAGGAGCGUUUCGGCGCGUAAAGCCCUAUCGGCAGGGAAGAAGGAGGACGGUACCUGACUAAGAAGCCCCGGCUAACUACGUGCCAGCAGCCGCGGUAAUACGUAGGGGGCAAGCGUUAUCCGGAUUUACUGGGUGUAAAGGGGGCGCAGACGGCAGCGCAAGCCAGGAGUGAAAGCCCGGGGCCCAACCCCGGGACUGCUCUUGGAACUGCGCGGCUGGAGUGCAGGAGGGGCAGGCGGAAUUCCUGGUGUGGCGGUGAAAUGCGUAGAUAUCAGGAGGAACACCGGUGGCGAAGGCGGCCUGCUGGACUGCGACUGACGUUGAGGCCCGAAAGCGUGGGGAGCAAACAGGAUUAGAUACCCCCGUAG
rnacentral:rRNA from 1 species